rnacentral:lncRNA from 1 species
GGUUAAAUGGUGUGUUAUUAAGGUAGAGGUCUUGUGUUCGAAUCCCUAUAUAGGCAAGGGUAUUAUUUUUACUCAAAUUUCGGGAUAGAGUUCUGUGUUAGAGGGAUUCUGAGUAGGGGAUGUGUAGUGGGAAUUAGGGGAGAAGAUUAAGGGAUUUUGGGGGUUAUCGGGAUUUUAUUUUAUUUUAUUUUUUUCCCAUAACCUAAUUUUGACUCUCUUUUCCAAAAAAAUUUAUGACGUCUAUUAUUU